rnacentral:rRNA from 1 species
AGCAGCCGCGGUAAUUCCAGCUCCAAUAGCGUAUAUUAAAGUUGUUGCAGUUAAAAAGCUCGUAGUUGAAUUUCGGGGUUCAUCCGUUGGUCGGGCUUUUUGGUCUGUACUGGCGUGAUGGAUUCCUACCUUCUGAAUAACCAGCAUGUCAUUAAUUUGGUGCGCUGGGGAAGCAGGACUGUUACCUUGAAAAAAUUAGAGUGCUUAAAGCAGGCUAUCGCCUGAAUACAUUAGCAUGGAAUAAUGAAAUAGGACGGCAUGGUUCUAUUUUGUUGGUUUCUAGGAUCACCGUAAUGAUUAAUAGGGAUAGUUGGGGCAUUAGUAUUCAAUUGUCAGAGGUGAAAUUCUUGGAUUUAUUGAAGACUAACUUCUGCGAAAGCAUUUGCCAAGGAUGUUUUCAUUAAUCAAAGAACGAAAGUUAGGGGAUCGAAAGACGAUCAGAUACCGUCGUAGUCUUAACCAUAAACUAUGCCGACCAGGGAUCGGACGAUGUUAAUUUUUAAUUGUACUUCGUUCGGCG